rnacentral:rRNA from 1 species
UACAGAGGGGGCAAGCGUUGUUCGGAAUUACUGGGCGUAAAGGGCGCGUAGGCGGCCUUCUAAGUCGCACGUGAAAUCCCCGGGCUCAACCCGGGAACUGCGUCCGAUACUGGAAGGCUUGAAUCCGGGAGAGGGAUGCGGAAUUCCAGGUGUAGCGGUGAAAUGCGUAGAUAUCUGGAGGAACACCGGUGGCGAAGGCGGCAUCCGGGACCGGCAUUGACGCUGAGGCGCGAAAGCCAGGGGAGCAAACGGG